rnacentral:rRNA from 1 species
GAUGAACGCUAGCGACAGGCUUAACACAUGCAAGUCGAGGGGCAACGGGACGUAGCAAUACGUUGCCGGCGACCGGCGGAUGGGUGAGUAACGCGUAUGCAACCUACCCACGACAGGGGGAUAGCCCGUUGAAAGACGGAUUAAUACCCCAUAAAACAGGGGUUCCGCAUGGGACUAUUUGUUAAAGGGUUCUCCGCGAGGGGGACAUCGGUUGUGGAUGGGCAUGCGUUCCAUUAGGCAGUUGGUGAGGUAACGGCUCACCAAACCGACGAUGGAUAGGGGAACCGAGAGGUUGGUCCCCCACACUGGUACUGAGAUACGGACCAGACUCCUACGGGAGGCAGCAGUGAGGAAUUUUGGUCAAUGGACGGAAGUCUGAACCAGCCAAGUCGCGUGAAGGAAGGCGGCCCUAAGGGUUGUAAACUUCUUUUGUAAGGGAAUAAAGUGCGUUACGUGUAGUGCAUUGCAAGUACCUUAGAAUAAGGAUCGGCUAACUCCGUG